UAUAUCGUGCUCCUCAGGACAGUAGUCAUACUCUCGUAUCAUAGAUCAAGCCACAGAUGUGUUAGUAUAAAUUUUUUUCUUUGUGAGUGCAAAUGACUCUAUAUAUCAUAGAUAGUUUAUAAGAUAAAAUGUCUUGCAUGGAUGUCGGUAGUAUAUGUAGAAUUCAUGCAUGAUCAAUUCCUCGUCUAGAAGAGGUGUAUUUAUUAGAAAAAAAACCAAUAGUCUCAGUAUAUUGGGGAGUAAUAAUCUCUUGUCAUAUCGCAUUUAUAUAUAGAGAGGUUUCUUAAAAGUUUCUCCCAUCUCCUCUUUAGAGGGUAGUGUAGGGGUCUCCCAGCACAGUCGGGGGUAGAGAAAAAUUGGGUUUCGUUUUGGGAGGGGGACCGAGAGAGGGGUCUCCCACACCCAAGAAAGACCGCAGGCGUGAAAUUUCCCCUAUCCUCACACGGAGGGGUAGACACAAUAACUCACAACGGGGAUAUUUAGUUUUGCAAUUGGAUUGAGAACAAGCACAACAGUUAUCGAUAAACAAUUGGAGGGCAAGUCUGGUGCCAGCAGCCGCGGUAAUCCACUAACAAAAUC
rnacentral:rRNA from 1 species